AUGGACGACUCGGACAUGGAACAUGACCUACUGGAGCAUAUACUUGACGGAAGCAUGAAACCAAGGGAUCUACCGUUGUCACUUCUGAAGAACAUUACAGGCAAUUUCUCCGAAAAGAGGAAAAUUGGUGAGGGUGGAUUCGGAAUAGUCUACAGGGGUGCCCUCCCAAAUGCGGAAGUUGCUGUGAAGAGGAUUAUUAAGAACGUCCAGACAAAUGAUGAGAACCUAUUUCGUCGGGAAGUUGACAGCAUGAUGGAGGUCAACCAUCAAAAUAUAGUUCGGUUUAUUGGCUUUUGUUCUAAUACAGAGCAUAAAAGGAUCCAACAUGGAGUACCAGGAGGAUACAUUUACGCUGAGGCUAGAGAGCGAAUACUGUGUUUCGAGUACAUCAGCAAUGGCAGCUUAGAUAAAUAUAUAACAGAUGAAUUAAGAGGACUUGAGUGGGAUACACGCUAUAAUAUAAUCAAAGGAAUAUGUGACGGUUUGGAAUAUCUUCACAUGAAAAAGCAUAUCAUUCAUAUGGACUUGAAACCGGCUAAUGUUCUAUUGGAUAAUCAUAUGGUGGCCAAAAUUACUGACUUUGGUCUAGCAAGAAUGGACGGGAAUUCACACACUACAAACCAGGUUUUCACACUGGGAUAUUGUGCUCCAGAAUACCUACUUGGUGGGAGGAUGUCAGUCAAAUCUGAUGUGUAUAGUUUAGGGGUCAUAAUCAUCGAACUCGUGAUGGGACGUAGGGGCACUCCAGACAUCAAUAAUGUACUUAGAAGAUGGAGGCACAGAUGGGGUAAAUCAGCGAAUGGAACACCAUUCAGAUACCAACAAAUAGCUAAAUUGGUUGAGAUAGGAUUAUGCUGCCAGGAAGAUGACCUCUAUAAGAGGCCUUUUAUAUCAGAGAUAAUCCGUGAUAUUAAAGAACUGGAAAGCACGGAUAGGGAAAUCAGUAACACGAACGAAUCAGGGAAGAUAAGCCCAUACUGGGAGGAUGACAUGCUUGGGGUGAAGCCACUCGAGCUACGUUUUCCAUUUGUGCUUAACAAGGAGAUAUCAUGCACACUUGAGGUAACCAACGGGACAAAUUCUUAUAUUGCCUUCAACAUAGAAACGAUGAGCCCCCUGCCAUACUGCAUAAAGGCAAACAAAGUCAUUGUGCCACCACAAUCCAAGUGUAGUGUCAACAUAACAUUGCAACCACUAGACAAGGUACCAGAAGGUAAGCAGUACUCUGACAAUUUCAUCAUCCGAAGCACCAAAGUCAGCGAGUGUCUUACAUCUGAGGAUAUAACUGAAGAUAUGUUCAAUUUGGAGGAGGGUAAAGUGGUUGAUGAGGUGACUCUCACGGUUGUACAUGAUGAGCCUUUCGAGCCCCAUGUGGAUCUUCCGCUCGAGUCGCUAACAAUUUCAGGUACAAAAAAUCUGAACAGUACAGAGAAAUCCAAUGUGCCAUCAGCAGAGACUGAAUCGACGGUAAUUAAACUUUCAAAGAAUUACCUACCUUCCAUAACAGAAGCUAUAUUUUUCGAAGUAUUUAGAUCCAGUCGACAAUUAUGCUGGGAUAUAACUAUAACAUCGACAAAAAACAAUCCCAAGCAUCCAACCAUUUUGGUAUUCUGGCUACGAGAACAGUAUAAUCAUAAUUGUAAUUUCCUUCAUUUGACUAUGUCACUAUGA
rnacentral:rRNA from 1 species